rnacentral:rRNA from 1 species
AGAUCUUGGGAUAUUUAGGUUAAGUGUUUUUGAGUUUGAAUAGUAUUAGGUUGGGUGAUCUCCUGGAAAGUCCAAAUUCAGGAGCUU